rnacentral:rRNA from 1 species
UCCUUAGAUGUUCUGGGCCGCACGCGCGCUACACUGAUGCAUUCAACGAGCCUAGCCUUGACCGAGAGGUCCGGGUAAUCUUUGAAACUGCAUCGUGAUGGGGCUAGAUUAUUGCAAUUAUUAAUCUUCAACGAGGAAUGCCUAGUAAGCGUGAUUCAUCAAAUCGCGUUGAUUACGUCCCUGCCCUUUGUACACACCGCCCGUCGCUCCUACCGAUUGAGUGUGUUGGUGAGGAGUUCGGAUUGGCUCUUAGUGGUGGUUCGCCACCACCUAGAGCUGAGAAGUUCUCCAAACCGCCCCACUUAGAGGAAGGAGAAGUCGUAACA